UAAUAUAUUUUGUGCAAUACAUCAUUUGAAAUUUGAGAAUGUAAUAAAAUUAAUGAAUUAAAGAUUACAUGGCCUUUACCUAGAUCCUCUAGAAGUGUCUCUAUGCAGGCUGGCAUGAACUUGACUUUGGCUCUUUCGCUGGCUCUUCGCGGCCGGGGCCGCGGAAAGACUUGGGCUUUAUCCCAAGACAUGGGAGGCUUUCAGGAAGACGCUGAGGAAUGGAUGGAAGGGGCCUGACUGGGUGGGGAUGACAGAAGCCUGUGGCGAGGCUUGGCUGCCCGCAGGCUGGGACUGGUGGCACCUGGACCCAGAGUGGCCUGAGAGGUGGAGGAAAUUGAGUAUUUCACAGAUGCUUAUGAGCCGGAGUGCAAGGAGACUUGGCGACCAACUGAACUGGAAAGGCUGGAUUGGGUUACCCACAGGUGAGUGUGCUGGGCGGUUCUUCAAGAGCCCAAGUCGGAGGGUAGGGGUGCGGGUGUGUGCCAAUCGGAGUGAAAGCAGUGAGCUUGGCUGAACAUCCCUCGGCUCACCUGACAGCAGCCCGCUCCGCACCGCCUUGCAGCAUUUUGGACUCUUCUGAGCUUUCCUCCAGUCCUCUUCAGCUGUGUCAGCCUCCCUACUGAACUCUGACUUCAGCUAUUAUAUUUUUCAGUUUUGAUUCACUGUAAAAUCUGCCAGGGCUCAUUUUAACGUUUCCUGUUCCCUGCAGAUAUUUUCAAGUUUGUCUUUUCAUUCUUUAAAACGGUAAAACAAUGCACAGUCUGUGUCUGGUCAUUCCAGGAUCUGAGGUACUUGUGGGUCUACUAUCUGUUUUCUGCUGGUUCUCAAUCAUGCUGUCAUUUCCUUGGGUACGUGGCCAUCUUUGUCUAUAUUUUGUUAUUGUAAUUUAAAAACUAUACAAAUAACUGAAGUCCAGGAUGAAGGGUCCUUCCUCCAGAGAUCUGUGCACUUCUGCCACACACCUGGGGCGGCCGCCUAACUGAACUGCGAGGUUCCAUGGUCCACUGUGGCCCCCAAAUCCAGCCUGCAGCCCAGGUGAGGACGGGAUCACUUCUGGUUCACCCUCACCCUGAGGGGGCAGCCGUUGCACAUCUCGGUUUAACAAAUCGGGGAAGGAUUAGACUCCCUGCCUUGGGCCAGGCCCUUGAGUUUGACAUUUCAUCUCUUUCGCCAAGGCCUCCAAAAACACAGCUGUUUAGAGUUACUUCUUCCAAAGCAAGACACUCCCCUGUCCACAUACUCACGAAAGACUGAGUUCAACAAGGAGCGGAGGCCUUCAGCCGGGCGGAGGCUGUGCCCGGUCCUCGAGUGUCACGUGGAGGAGGAACUAGGCUUAGGAGGGCAGAGCCGGCCAGGACCACACAGGGAGCUGACUGGGACUGGAAAAAGGGGAAACUUCCUAACUCUGAAUGGCGCUGAGGUCUCCCCAGACUCUCAUGGAGAAUAUGCAGUGGCAUUCAAACCCCGGUUCUGGGGGCUAGAAGGGACUCGAUGUCUUGGAGAUGCUCGUGAUUUUAUGUGCUUAACCAUAUCCUUGCCCCUCAGGGUCACAUGUCCCCACAACGGCCCCCAGCCUCCUCCCAUGAGCUCAGUCAACAUGUGCUCAAGCCGCCAGAGUUCAAGAUUUUAUUUUAAAACAAGAGUAAACAAUUUCAUUGAUUUUUCUUAAAUCACCUCACACCUGGCUUGUCUCAGGCAAAAAGUAAAAAGUAAAAAUAAGAAGGGAAGGGGAGGAAAAUGUGGGGACUGACCAAGCUUCCCCAGAAAUAGGCCCCUGGUCCUGGCAUCUGGAAUGGCUUUUGGACACUGUCUUCAACAAAUGAGAAAAGAAAGCACCAAAAUAUUGUGCUUCAGCAGCAGAUUAGGAACCUCCAUAAAGAAAAAGGCAGGGCAGGAGAGGGAUUCAAACACAGGACCCAAGCAGCCUGGUUCAGUUCGAGAAACUUGCAAGAGUCUCGAAGCAUCUCCUCUCCACAACUCCAUUUCAGAGCAACUGAGAGACCAGCUCCCUUGAGGAAGGAAGAGGCGUCUUCCGAGCUGGACAGCGGGGAUCUGAGCCUGCCUCCCGGGCUCAAGGGUGACCCCGAGCAGGCUCCCAGCGUCUUGGAGGAGGGUCAGGAAGGACGAGGAAUGUUCAGAGCAUCCAGAGGGAGGGGAAGUGUGGGGACGUCAGGCACCCACUGCCCCACUGUGCUCAGCGGCUCCCGGUUCCUUCACGUCUUGUUCGACUGGAGAUGAAGACUAACUGCUCCGGAUGGCAGGACGGAAGGGCUGUAAACAGCCGGGGUGUGCUCACCCACAUGUGCAGGCUCUUUUGUCAGAAAAGGACCAUUGUCUUGGGGACAGGGGACCAGAAAAAGCCCUUAUGGUGUAGGGUGGAUAUGGGGUAGAACGCAGUGAUAGCAGCCGCCAGAUGCGUGCUCUCUGGGCCCUGGCCCCAGACAAGGAAACACUGAACGAGGUUCUGGAAUGGCAAUGGUGGCAGGGAGGGCAUAGGGGUGCUCCCAUCCUCCUGGGCCCCCAGGCCACCUCUCAGGCCCAGGGAGAGGCAGCCUGCCCCUGGGCUCAGGGCAAAGGGCCUGGGAAGCUGACCUGGGCCCCUCUGUACGCAGGGCAGCCACUGCCGAGCAGGC
rnacentral:lncRNA from 1 species